rnacentral:rRNA from 1 species
CCUACGGGAGGCAGCAGUGGGGAAUAUUGGACAAUGGGGGAAACACUGAUCCAGUGACGCCGCGUGAGUGAAGAAGUAUUUCGGUACGUAAAGCUCUAUCAGCAGGAAAGAAAAUGACGGUACCUGACUAAGAAGCCCCGGCUAACUACGUGCCAGAAGCCGCGGUAAUACGUCGGGGGCAGGCGUUAUCCGGAUUUACUGGGUGUAAAGGGGUCUUAGACGGCAGUGCAAGUCUGGAGGGAAUUGCCGGGGGCCAACCCCGGAACCGCGCGGGAAACUGUGAAGCUGGAGUGCAGGAGAGGUAAGCGGAAUGCCGGGUGUAGCGGUGAAAUGCGUAGAUAUCAGGAGGAACACCGGUGGCGAAGGCGGCUUACUGGACUGUAACUGACGUUGAGGCUCGAAGGCGUGGGGAGCAAACAGGAUUAGAUACCCGAGUAGUC